CGAAAAAACACAUCCAAAGGGGCGACAUUAAGUUCAUUACGCCUGAAAAGUCGAAAAUGAAAAGUGGAGGAAACGAGAGAAAACGACAACACCUGCGAGAAAUCCGUUGGAUUUCUAAGGCCAAAGGAGGUGGGGAAUUCGCAGAGUGCACACUUUUGGGGGCGGAUUGGAAUGGGGUGGGGAGGUUCAGGUGAGCGAGUCUAUUUUGGAUGCCCGCAACAAGUACGCAGGCGAGGAAAAUGCCAAAUUGCAUACGACUGCGUCACUCUUCGCGAAGAGCACCCAUCCCCAUCCCCAAUCCCCAUCAGCCAUCAGCAGGAGAAGAAUCCGAGCAGCGAGAAGAGCGGGAGAAGACGGGUAGCCGGCUCGGCUACCGAAGAAACUGCCCAACCACGAAGCGAGAGCAGUGCCUCUCUCUUUCUAGGCAAAUCAGCAUGGGGCAGGCGAAAACACACUGACACAUGGGGCAAAUUCCCACAGUCGAAGUCACCGAAAUAGCACUACGGAUGUAGCUAUCAGUCUAUCGAAGUGAUAAUCUCCUCGACAUACAAAAUUCAAACAGAUUACAGAUUGAUUCUGCAAGGGGAACUGAAGUAGUUAAUUUCAUCAGUUUACAACAAACACCACAACUACAAAUAAAAGAGUCUUAUUACGACAACCCUGUCUGUUCCUCAGCGAGUGUGUAAGGUUUUUGACACUGACUGCGGAUCGUUAGAAGAAUUCUGCGCAGUGGUCCUGCCAGCAGGAGCGCCUCGUCACCUCGGGCACAGUUUUCCCUUUCGGAAAAUGCAAUGGAAAGCCAGGACAGCGGGGGCUGCGCGGAGAGGGGUAGCACAAUGAAAACAUUAUUUUUAUUUUUAAACCGCGCACACUUGUUCCGUCGCUGUUGCGUCGUGGUUCGUUCUCGAAGUCAUGUUCGAUCCGAUGCCUAUCCGUACCGUUCCGAUCCGAUCCUCGGCAUGAGCGACCAACAGCUGCUGGCUCUGCGUCAGCUUCGUCACCUCCUCGACGUGGAUGCGGAUGUACACAGAGCGAAACGGGGGGUACCAUGCCAAAUAUAAAACAGAAUGGAAAUAGCUAAAUCACCUAACAAGAUACCGCAAUAAAACAAUACACUUGUGCAUAACCCA